UAACUGCGUGCAGACGUGUGAACUGCAGGACACAUGAACACCGACGUUUCGAACGCAAAUGGCGGUCUAAAGUAAAUUUUAGACCACGUCUGGCUGAGGGUCGGAUUAUAAAACAAAACUAAAGGUGCACUGGUGAAGUUGCUAUAUACUCACUUGCAUGGGUGUAUGGUGAUAUGUGAUGUGUUACCGACUUCGUCAAGUUGUGCAACUUGAUCAGAUUUCUAAAGCGUUGUAUCUGUGUUUGCUACAAUCGCAAGUCCUAACUUUUUAUAAAGAAAAAAUACUGAUUGGAAGAGAGGAUUUUUGCUUGAUUGUGCUUUUGAUGAUGCUAAUGCUUACUAUAUUAUAGUAUAAAAAAUAUUGUAUUCAUUGAUACGACCUCAGAGCAGACGAGAUUACC
rnacentral:misc_RNA from 1 species